rnacentral:tRNA from 1 species
CAUCUCCCUUACACCGAGAAGUCGUCUGUGCAAAUCAGACUGCCCUG